AUGGGAAACGAAAAAGCAAAUAGCCAUUGGGAAGCAGAGCUGCCUCCUAAAUAUGAUAGGGUUGGGAUAGAGAAUUUCAUCCGUGCAAAAUAUGAGGACAAGAGAUGGGUACCAAGGAAUGGAACAUUGCGACUUUCCUCCGGUGUUCGAGAUGAGAAGAGCCAAGAGUCUCCAGCUAGUGCUAAUUGGAGUGGACAUCAUAGAUCUUCAUUUGAGCAAAACCAUGCUUCACCAGCUCUUCCGAGCAAAGUUGCACCUGUAGCUUCAAGGAUACCCUCUCAGGCAUCACCUCAGCCCCCAAAGGUAGAACCACCAGUUCCUAAGGUGGUUUCACCUCCUCAGCCACAAAAAUCUCCUGCCAAAGUUGAGGCAACACCCCCUAAAGUUGAGAAGCCAUCAGUUGCGCCGCCUCCUAAAGUUGAUUAUGCUACUGAUCUCUUUAACAUGUUAUCAAUGGAUGGAACAAUAGAGAAAGAGCCAGAGUCAUCUCCAAACGACGAUAAUGCCUGGGAUGGCUUCCAGUGUAAGUUCUUGUGA